rnacentral:lncRNA from 1 species
GAUAAUCUUAGGUUUUUCUACAAUAACAAAUUUAAAAUUUAAAAAUAAAUUUUAUUUAUUCAAUAAAGUUAAAUAUGGUUUACAAAUAUGAAUCGGUUUACAGUAAACCAAAGUUAAAAUGCAAACCAAAAAAAAAUUCUAAACCUAAUGUCCCCGCCGCUAAUGACCACCACUAAUCUCCGUCGCUCUCCACCACGACCACCACUUCUUCUUCUCUACUAUGUUUGUCAUCUGCUGUACCUAGCCAUGAAUUUCGUCGUCUUCUUCCUCUCUAAGCCCAGCUUCCGUUACUACUCCUUCGGCUUCACCGCCUCCACCGUGGCUUCAUCCUGUCUCCGCUUCCAGCCAAUCUCUCAUUCCUCACAUCAGAUCUUGAAUCGAUGGUGGAGAAAACUCCAUCUUCUUCAUGAAUCUGCAUCUUGACAAGAAGAAGCUUUGAUAAGAGAAUAGAUAAAAAGUGUGGUUGAGACAGAUUUCGUGGUGAUGGUUGAAACAGAGUUCAUUAGCGGAGAUAGAUAACGAGGAGGUGGAGAUUAAGAUGAUGGUGGCAGCGGCGGAGGUUAUGGUGAUGGUGGCUGAGACAGAUUCGUUGGCGGAGGUAGAGAACGAGGAGACAGAGAUGAUGGUGAUGGUGGUGGUUGUGACAGAUUUCGUUUAUGGGGUAAUUUUGUUUAAGGAUGAAGAAGAAAAUGAGAUAAGAAAAGAGAUAGAGAUAAGUCUUUGUUCAAAAGAAGAAAAAAAAGAGAGAGAGAAUACGAAAGGAAAGGUAGGAGAUAGAGGAAGACCACAUUUUUCACUUUGUUCAUUCUUGGCCAUUAGAUUUAUUUUAAUCAAUGGCUGUAGUUAAAAGAAAGUGAAUCCUCACACUUGCACCUUAGUGGUUACUUUUUGAGAGAGGGAAAAAUGAAAGUUAAGAGAGGAAAAUUGAUUAGUGAUGGAAUUUUCACAAAGUAUUUCGCGGAAGAUCUAAUUUUAGGUUUCCGCUUACUAAAAAUCUUUUAUAUCAUUUAUCUAAUGCUAUUAUAUGAUACGAAAAAUUUUAAAUCAUCGACGAUAGCAGUUCAGUAAAACGUGCUAUAACAAUGUGCUAUCAAUGUAGACUUUUUUGUAGUGGAUGCGAUGUUGCUGCGGUAUGGAAACCAUGACGAUCCAGAGCAAAUUAUAUUUUAUUUGGAGUUGGAAAGAAAGUGGCAGGAAACAGAGAUGACGACGCCAUCACCAUCGUUCUUGGUAACAAAGUCGAUUCCAGAAGUCGUAGCGAUUGUAGCAAAUACAUCGACAGUGGCUGAGGUGAUUGAUGUACCAAGAGCGAUGAAGGAUGAACUGUUGCACAAGGAGUCAAGGAUGACUCAAAUCCAGAACAUGAGGUACAAGUUUCUUACUUGGAACCAAGCCCUAUGCUUCACGAUUCAUUCGUUGUUUUUAUUGAUAUGUAAUUUGUGAAUUAUAUCAUAGGUAUAAUAGACACUGUACCAUUUUGACAGAACUAUCUCAAUUCAGAUAGUUCAAUUUGGAUCAGCCAGCUGAUUUUUAAAAUUAAGCCUAAAUUUUGAAAACUCAUCAAGAUGAUCUAUCUAGAUGAUUUGUAAAAACGAAACUUUCAUCUCCAUCUAGAUGACUCAUCUGGAUGGUGAAACAAACAACCCCACAAUUGCUUCUGAUUCAGCGUCUUCAGUAGCAACUAAUUCAUUAUGUGUAAGAACAUCAAAAUGUAUAGGAUUGUGGAUAAUAUUUGGCUCAUCUGAUACAAGAAUCACUUGAGGAGACUAAUGAGCUGGAAUGGAAGUCACUGAAGACAGAGUAGCUUGCUGCCAAGCUUGUAAAAGAGCUGAGGAAUACUGAGGAGCCAAUUGUUUGAAUUUAUCAGCAAAGGAAAAUAGAUUUUCAUUAAUAAUAAUAUGUUUGCUUAUAUAUACCCUUCCUAUUGUUGGUUACAAACAACAUGACCUUCGUAAGAGAAAUUGUAUCCAACAAAGACACAUUGCAUGAUCUUGCUUCAAGCUUGUGACUAGAGUAAAGUUAUAGAUAUGGAUAACAAGCACUUCCAAAAACCCCGCAGAGCUGAAAAUCUGGUUGUUGAUUGUAAAGAACUUCCUAAGGUGCUUAAUGCAUAUAUAUAUACACCGCGUACAAAGAAAUCAUCUAAGAUGUGCUGUCCACAGAAAAAAAAGAAGCAAAUUUUGAAUAUUAGAAAAUAAGUCAAGUUUCCUACUCCAAUUGAUUGGAUUUCGACGGCCAUAAAAACUAUAUUUCGUCAAAAGGAAAAAGUAAACCCCAAAAAAGAUAUUCAAAUAAUCAACCAGGACGAAUUACACCAGCAAGAAGUCUCCUCCCUAUCAAUUCCUUCCUCCGACCUCCAGAUUAAAAAAUUCAUGCUUUCGAGCAAUAGGAUAAAUUUCCUGCAACAAACAUGAUAAGUCUAUGUGAAUAUCAUCAGUCCGACAAAUAUCCAUGCCCAUUGUAGCAUUCUACUACUUAACUCAUGGCUUAGGCCAUGAUCCAUCGACUAAAAUAUGGAAAUAAACUACCUAUUUCAGAACAUCAACAAUCCCUACCUUAUACGACUAGGCGGCAUCCAAAUAAGACUACCACGGCUAUGUGCCUAAAAGGCUACAUGCCACUAAUGCCUUGCGCCAAAAGACAAAUUUUGUUAAUCACUGAAUUAUGAGUCUAUGAUCAUCAAUCCCAUAAGAUCAUAUGAUCUCAUACGGUCCCGAGCCUAACUCAUCUAAAAAACAAUAGGUGACCUUCGAUUACUUGGGACUAGAUAUCUACUUCCGGGAUUCAUACAUGGUCAAGGCCAGAACAAAUUGGAUAAGGCAUAAAGAAACGGCGUCCUGCUCAUGGUAAACUUGCUGAGAAAUAAUGAUUCUGAUCAACAAAAGUGCAUAGGUUAUCUCCCGACUUCACCCAUGAAUUAGAAAGAUAAAGGAAAAUUGUUGGGGAUAAAUAAUUGAGUAAGUUACAUGCUUUUGAGCAGGACGCCAAUCUUCAAUUCCUUCUUGAAUAAAUCUCAACUCCAGAUUUGGAUCAAUUCAUGCACCGUGUAAAUGGAAAACUUCUAAUAAAAGGAGAUUCUUCCAUAAUUCAGGAUGUAAAAGAUUUUAACCUCACUUCCGACUGUGAACAACCUAUAAAAUGAGAUCCCUAAAACAAAGGAUCGACUAUUCAAGACAUCAACUGUAGAGUUAAGUGGAUAUAACUAGGGUUCCUAAUCCAAACUGUGUAGUCCUAGUUCUAAAAAUUAAUAAAACAUUACUUUUAAUCAUUGUUCAUAUGCUUGUUAUUGCUUAUUCCACGUUUCCGUAGUAAAAUAGUCUACACAAAUUUAUCCUAACGUUAACACCUUGUAAGACAAAAUUAGUACAAAUACAGUUGAAUAUUAAAAUAUAGGUUAAUAUAUUACUAAAUAUAUAUUCAAAAAUGUUGUUAAAUAUUUAGGAACCCUUCCUAAAAGUAAACAUUAUUAGUUAAAUAUUUUAAGUAUUUCUAAAUAUAAAAUCCAUGUAGUUAAUACAGUAUACAUACAGUUAAAAUUAACAAGUUACAAUUUUAGAGCACCUCUAUCAGUAACAACCGAUAGAAGUUGCUAAAAGAAAAUAAAUAUUAUUAUUAUUAUAAAAUUAAUCAUCUUUAUAUAUUAAGAAGGGUUUUACUUCCUCAUGAGGCUAUCCACGUAAGCUGCCAUGUCACUAAUUCAUGUCUUUCCAGCUUGACACGUGGACUCUUCUAAGAGCGUGUUAUUCACUUUGAUUUUUCUUUUAACCUAACCAAUCCUUGCCGUUCCGCAUCCUCUUCCCAAACGAUCCAACUGAGAAAUGCCAGUCUUUAUGGAAUUGAAACCUGAAUACCCACUACUUCAUCUUCAAUGCUUGGUUACUUCUUCUUCGAGUUUGCACAUAGAGUAUAUAUAGAGGAUUUAAGCGUCUUCACAAUCAUCUAUUUGAUUCGCCUUCAAUCGCAUAACCCCAAAGCUCUCUCACCAAUAUCCGAUAAUGGGUAAUCAACAGCGCCAAUUCUCAGAGUUAAGAUAGGCCGUUGUAUAAAUUGGGUUGUGACAAGGCUCCUUCGGUUUAGGGAAGCUUGCAAUGUCAAGAAAAGAGAUCCUUCUUGCAAAUUGAUGGAAAGGUACCUACUGUAAAUUUUGAUGUACGUUUAUAGACAUUAGGGUCUUAUAAGAAACACAGCUCACGGGUUACUUUUUUGUUGCCUCACUUGCUGAUGGUAUCCCUUGUUUACGUAUCUCGAUCUGUGUUCUUUGAAAAAAAAAAGUUAUGUGUUCUUCGUUUAUCAUUCUGUUUGUUUUCAUGUUUUAGAUUGUUUGAUACCGCGUAGAUAUUCAGAACUUUUCUUUUUUUGGUACAAUAGAUAUUCAGAACGUUUCUUUUUGGUACAAUAGAUAUUCAGAACUUGACAGUUCCUUCCGUACCUUUCACUCUGGAGUAGCUUCCCGUCAUGGUGAAUUCUCAAACCCACUCGAGAAUUGGGAUGGUACGCACUGAUCAUGAACUAGAAGCUAUCAGGCAGCGAAGAAUGCAAGAGUGAUGGUUCAACAUAGCACUGUAACUUCUAAUUUCUAAUAGCGUUCAUGUAUGCCAGUUCUGUUUUUCUUUUUAAUUGAGAAAAUUGCACUUUGUGCCUCAUUGCGAACCACCCUGAUGUGCAGGGGAAGCAUGCAAUCAUCAGAAUCCGGAUCAAGAGAGAGCACAAGAAGAUGCUAAAAAUUGUGUUAAUUUGCUGACUAUUAGCUGAAAAAUAAACUCUGUGUUGAGCUAAACUACUCUCUGAUUGGAACGUAUGUUUAAGGAAGCUGAUGAGCGUAUGUUUAGGGAAGCUGAUGAAUGUGUUUACAGAUCCAGAGACGUCGUGCGUAUGCUAUUUCAUGUCUUCUCAUUCAUUUUUACUUGAACUCUUCUGUGACCUUAUCAUCACUGCGAUAGUUAUACUCUGACUUUGCAUCUUCUGCAAAAAUUAGAGUAGCUGAAAAAAUAACAGCCGUCUCCAUCAACGGCAAAGAGAGAUAAAGAAAAGCAGAGGAAUACAUAAACCGUAGCUUAUUAUACUCGAGAUCUUUAAGAGUGUGAUCGUAUCCACCAUUUGGUAAUAGAGGAUAUAUUUGAGUUCUAUAGAUGAUAAAAUAACAUUUCUUAGUUAAAACUAUUGAAUCACCUUAUGUCACAUGUAUUCAACUUAUAUCAUUAGACUAACUUUAUAAGACAGCUUCACUAUUUUCAGGGUAGUUAAUUUCCUUUCGGUCAACAAACAAGAAGAUAACUAAUCAAAAGUGAGUUAAAAAAAAACUUAUCAAAAGUAAGAAAAUAAAUUAUCAUAAUUAAUUAAAUUUAGUUAAAAUGAUAUAUAUCAAAUUUUAAUGGGUCAAUUAUUGGUGUAUUGCAUUUUUAGAACAUUUAUGCAUCAAAAGAAAAAUUACAUGAAUCAAGAUAGCUAAUCAAAAUUUUCAUAAAUCAAACAAUGUUUAUUUUACGUAUACUUUAGCUUUGAAAUUGUUUUAUAAUUCACAUCCCGUCUAUAAGACGGACCGACCCUAGUAUAUAUAAUGGAAGAGUUUUUGCUCUCUCCGGAGGCUAUCCACCUCAGCGUAGUGGACCCCACAAGGAAAAAAAUAUAUUUAUAUAAUAGAAAAAAAAGAAGAAGAAUCGAUCUUCUUUGCAUCCUCUCUUCCACCUUAUCUCCACCACGGCUGUUACUAUCGUCGUCCUUGAUAACGUUUAAGGAAUCGUACGGUUGUGGGAGAUUUCGCUAAACACUUGGAUCUCGAUAAAACCUUGAGUGCCUCAAAGCAGAUCGAGAUCUAUUCAGCCUGGAUAAGUGGAGAGAAAAGGAAGAAGGAGAUGAUGAUCCUUGAGGAAGAAGAAAAUGAAGAGAGGGAGACGGAGAGGAAGGAUGAUCGGAGAUAUUUACAAGAGAAGUGAGUGUCAAGGGAGUUGGAGUUAACGCUAUUGUUGUUGUUGCUGGAAGGAAGCUUUGGUCAUGGAGAUUUGUGCGUGUGGACCACAGUGAUUUGAUCUUCCAGCGAAAACAUCUAAGAGAGAAGAAUUUAGUUACCCAUAAACAAUGGAUUCCACUCAUGCCAUGAUUGCCCAAGCUUGGAAAGACCAGACGCCACAUGUUCGGUUAGAUCGAAUAUUUGGUGUGACACAUGUAAGUCGUGACAAUUGUGGAAAGGAAAAGGCCAUCGACGCAUCUAGAUCUAUGCAAAGCAUUGUAAACCAUCAUAUUUUGUUUUCUGCUUUAUUUUGUUAUCCACAUUCUGAUUUCUAAGUUUGGACUUUGUAGUUUCGUGACUUUCGUCUGCUAAUCAUUUUUAGCUAGCCAUGGUCUGUGUGAUGGAGAUUAGUCAUUAGUUAGUCAAAGUUCAAGCAUCUGACAUUUUUUAAUAUAAUACUACUAUAUAUUAAUCCCGUUGUACAAAUUAUUCUAAAAUUGGUCAAACGUACUUGAACCAACCACUUAUCACAUCUCAGAAGAGCAUAGGGUUUAGUAGUUUUUGUUGUUGUUUUUUAAUAGUAAGACAAACAUGUAUGGUUUGAGAGUAAAGGUUUUGUAAUUUUCUGUUGAUUUUUAUUUCUCUUUGUUCUUAUGUAUGUCAAAGCUCAAGCAUCUGAGGUGAUGCUUACCUCUCCCGCAAAAUUUUAGUUUAUUUUGAAAUUAUUAUAUAUUAUUUCCUAGGAGAAUAGCUACAGAAGCCUGCAAAACAAUGAUGUUUUAAAGGUUCUUGGUUUAGAGAGGCAAAAACUGUCUUGAAGUCUACUGAAAAAAGUUGUGAUAGUUAUGGAUCUUUGAAUUGAUUCGCAGGAAAGGAGCUUAGAUGUUAACGUGGCUGUGGAGGUUCCUUUGAUUCCAUUGGUGAAUCAGGUUGGACGGAUGGUUCUCAACGACAUAACACAGUUCAUGCAGCAAAAAACGGGCAUCAAAAAUCAAACACAUACUGUCAGCUGAAUCAUACUUCAGUCAGCCAUUACAGCUGCUCCUGAUGAUCGGUAAGAAAGAUUCUUUACUUUCGAAUAUGUUUGCUGCUGUUAUAUCCGAGAAGCUGAUUCUAGGAGCAAUUGAUAGUCCUGUACUAUCAAACCAACUUAUCUUUUCUCUUCAAUUUCUUUCUAACACUAUGAUGCACAAUGACGUGAUGAGGAAAAUAAAAUAGGAAAAGCCCAAAACAGAGAAGAGAAAGAGAGAGCCGGAAGUACUUUCGAUAUAGGUGGCAUCAGGGCAGGCUCAAAAGAAUUUAGGCCCCUCGGAAAAAAAAAUUGUCUUGUGGGAAAAACUUUUUAAUGAGUUAAAAAUUAUUUUUUAAAAUAUAAUUAUUUAAUCUAUUUUAUUAUUUAAUAUGAAAAUUUUCUUUUAAAAAAAGAAAUUCUGAAAAUAUAUAAACCAAAAUUUAGUAACAAAUAUAUUUAUAUCUAUUUUUAAACUAAAAAUUUCAAAUAAAUUCUAAAACAAAAAUUUUUGGACCAUGGAACCUGGGACGGUCGCAUUCUCCGCCCUCCUGUCUAAGCCGGCCCUGGGUGGCAUAAUGUCAUAACAAGUCAAAGACUGUGGAUAGAUAUGUUUCGGAGCAGCAAAAUGUUUACUAAGUCUACUCAUUUUCUCCACCAAAGAAAAAUCAUAGGAUGCUUCGAUAUUAUUUUCAAAUAAGAUAUCUACAUUCCACCAGAAAACCAUUCCCAUGUAGAAAGAUUCCGGCGGUCCCGUCAACCGAUUGGUGUAAUUUAUAUAAGCUGGAAACCAGAUCUCAUGUGUUUUUCAUUCUACACUAGCAGAAAACAUCAACCUAAUUCCUUUAUUUUCCGCAUUUCUGGUAGGUACUUAAAAGAUUCCUAUUAUAUUGACACUAAAAUAAAAUAAAAUAAAAUGAGACACAAGAAAAAAAUGGGGAAAAAACUCAAAGAAAAUUAUGCGCUCAAAUGAAUGGCAAUAUAAAAUGGACCGAAGUAAAAGGAAAAUAAAAAGCCAUUAUACGAAGCCAAAUAAGGUGGCACUACACAUAAGUAAUGAUAGGAAGAUGAACAAUAAUUUGUAGAGGACUUGAAUAUACAAAAAUCAAAACACCUAACCUGAAAGCACAAGAAAUUCAAAUAACAAAAAAGAUAUGAAUGGUAAAAUGCUUAAAACAACACAAAUGAACCCGCACACAAGGGUGUACUCAUUUGCACACAUUGAGAUAGAGCAACAACUCCAUCAAUGAUCCCACACAUUGUGAUAGAGCAGCAACGGUUGUGCAGGGACACUCUAGUUAUUAUAAAAUUAAAAAAAAAAAAUCUCCAAAAAUAAGUACAAAGGAGGAGAUAUCACCAAAAUAAAGUAAAAGAAAGUUAUUAUAAAAUUAAAAAAAAAAAAUCUCCAAAAAUAAGUACAAAGGAGGAGAUAUCACCAAAAUAAAGUAAAAGAAAAAAAAAAGACCACCAAACCCGUGGAGUUGUUGUGUUGCCAUUUCAUACCUUGGUAAGAGGCGAAAGCCAUAGCCAAAGCCUCUCUCAAUCCUCAAACCCCCUUUUGCUUUACGUUCUUCUCUCUUCGAUAAUUCGAUUCCUUUAGUCUCACGGGGGUUCCCUUUUGAUCUUCAAUCAAUCUCUCUACCAAAGAGAUUCUUUUUAUUUUUCCGAUCUGCGCGCCCAUCGGGAUCGACCCAGUUUCUCCAGUCAUCUGGUACGUUUGAUCAGGAAUUCGAGAGGACAAGAACAUCGAAUCAGUUGAUGUAAGAUUUUUCGAUUGGUUCUUUCUGAUUAGAUGAGAACACAAGGGGUUUUGUUUGGUUUUGAUUCGCUUGUGUCUGAUUUUGGCUUAAAUAAUGAGUUUUUUUUUUUUUUUAGUAAAAAGGGUUUAUGUGAAUUCAUCUAAAGAUUUCGUUUUGUUGUUUCAUUUGUUGAAUUUGGAAACUUGUAAAUUAAAAGUUUUGGUUUUUAUUUCAAUGUUUAUUGUUGGCAUCAAGGAACUGAGAUUUUACAUUUUUGUUUAGUUGAUUCAGGUUUGGAUUUUAACUGGUUAAUAAGAUGGAUGAAAACAAUGGAGUCUCAACCUCACUUCCACCAUUCCUCACCAAAACAUAUGAAAUGGUAGAUGAUUCCUCCUCUGACUCGAUCAUAUCUUGGAGCGAUCACAACAAAAGCUUCAUCGUCAAGAGCCCCGCCGAGUUUUCGAAAGACCUUCUUCCAAGAUUCUUCAAACACAAGAACUUCUCCAGCUUCAUCCGCCAGCUCAACACAUAUGUAAAGCUCCUGUCUUUCUAUCAUCUCUUUGAUGAUGAUAUCUUUGCUUGUCCUAACCCUUUUGUGUGUUUAUAGGGUUUCAGAAAAGUCGAUCCGGAGAAAUGGGAGUUCGCAAACGAAGAUUUCGUUAGAGGCCAGCCUUACCUAAUGAAGAACAUCCACAGGCGAAAACCGGUUCACAGCCACUCGUUACAGAACCUACAAGCGCAGAGUCCUUUGUCUGAAUCAGAAAGACAGAGCAUGAAGGAUCAGAUCGAGAGGCUGAAGAGGGACAAAGAAGUCCUUCUCACGGAUUUACAGAACCAAGAGCUUGAGCGUAAAGGGUUUGAGCUGCAAGUAACCGCGUUGAAAGACCGGUUACAGCACAUGGAGCAGCGUCAGAGAUCGAUAGUGACAUUCGUUUCACAGGUUUUGGAAAAGCCAGGGUUUUCUCUAAACCUAGAAACCCACGAGACAAGGAAAAGAAAGCUGCAAGAGACAGAGACUUCUCUUCCUCCGGGCCGGUCACACGCAGAUCAGGUGGAGAAGUUGGAGUCUUCUUUAACGUUCUUGGAGAAUCUUGUCACGGAAUCUUGCGACAAGGGUAUGGAUAUUGAUGUGAACGAGUCAACUAGCUGCGCGGAGAGUCUAAGCAAUGGAGAUAACCGAGCCAAGUCAACAAAGAUUGAUAUGAACGCAGAGCCUGUUACCGUUGCUGUUGCUGCUCCAAAGACAGGGGUUAACGAUGUGUUCUGGGAGCAGUGUUUGACAGAGAAUCCGGGAUCGAUUGAACAGCAGGAAGUUCAGUCAGAGAGAAGAGAUGUUGAUGCAAAUAAGAUUGGAGAUGGAAGGACGUUUUGGUGGAAAGCUAAGAAUGUAAAUGAUAUUGCAGAGAGAGCUUGAUAUUUAAGCUCUUUUGUAAAAUAGAUUUUUUUAUUUAUUACUACUUCUGAGAUCACUGUCUUGUGGUUCAUUGUUUAUUCUGUUUCUGUACGCUAUUGUUUUGGGGGAAGAGUAAUAUAGAUGCAUAUUGGCUCUGGAUUUAUUUUACCUUCACAACCUUUUCUAUAAAGCUGCGACUUGUUUUAGUAUAAAGACCAAAGAGUCAAAUAGGGGUAGAGAGAGAGAGAGGACAAAAAAAAAAUUAAAUAAAAAGGCUCCGUUUCCGGAAAUUGAACCCGGGUCUCCUGGGUGAAAGCUAUUGUGGACGCAUUUACUGGUUGCCUACGAAGUUCAAUGAAUCAAUUUGGAUAUCUUACUCGAUUGGACAGUUAAAGAAGCUCUUAAAUCUAAAAGCGGUUGAUGUAAAGAAAAAAUUAAGUGGUAAAUUAAGGAACUUGCUUAAAUAUAGAAAAGAUUAUAAUGUUAAUUAAAUAAAUGUAAUUUUCUAAUUUGUUAUUUGCAAAUGACAAAAGACGACAAAAGUUUGUGGUUAAAAUUUUAGGGCAUUGUUAUUCCUGAUUUCCUUUUUUCUUUUUUUCGUCGUCUACCCAUCUAAGCCAGAUCAAGUGGAGAACAGACGAGCUAAUCCUCCGAGUAGCAUUUCCAUCUGUCCGGGUCUGAUCUAUAUGGGAGAAAAUAUAAUCUCUGGUCCUUGCAUCUUUUGCUAAUCCGUCUGCCCGGUCAUUCCGACUUCGAGGAAUAUGAGACAGUCGCACAUCCUCGAAGUCUUCCUGUAACCUCUGGAACACCUCGAUCUCUGUCGCAAAAGCUGGCCAGUCCAUCGGGUUUGUAGUCAUAUCCACUAAGUCCGAGCAAUCCGUCUCAUACCGUACCGAAGUGAUCCUUCUGUCUCUCAUACAUGAGGCUGCCCAAAGUAACCCUUCCAUCUCAGCAUACAAAGCUGAGAGGCUCCUGUUACACGCUCGUAAUCCGAAGCAUUCUAAUCCCAUUAAAGUACAAAGGAGGAGAUAUCACCAAAAAAAAAAAAAAGGAAAAAAAAGACCACCAAACCCGUGGAGUUGUUGUGUUGCCAUUUCAUACCUUUGGUAGGAGGCCAAAGCCAUAGCCGAAGCCUCUCUAAUCCUCAAACCCACCCCUUUUGCUUUACGUUCUUCUCUCUUCGAUAAUUCGAUUCCUUUAGUCUCACGGGCGAUCCCUGCUUGAUCUUCAAUCAAUCUCUCUGCUUCGAAUAUUCUUUUUUGUUUUCCGAUCUGCGCCCGUCGGGAUCGGCCUAGUCUUCUCCAGUCAUCUGGUCCGUUUGAUCAGGAAUUCGAGAGGACAAGAACGUCUAAUCAGUUGCUGUAAGAUUUUUCGAUUGGUUCUGUCUGAUUCUAAGUUCGGGAAUCUAGAACUGUAGAUUAGAUGAGAACACAAGGGGUUUUGUUUGGUUUUGAUUCGCUUGUGUCUGAUUUUGGCUUAAAUUAUGAGUUUUUUUUUUAGUUAAAAGGGUUUAUGUGAAUUCAUCUAAAGAUUUCGUUUUGUUGUUUCAUUUGUUGAAUUUGGAAACUUGUAAAUUAAAAGUUUUGGUUUUUAUUUCAAUGUUUAUUGUUGGCAUCAAGGAACUGAGAUUUUACAUUUUUGUUUAGUUGAUUCAGGUUUGGAUUUUAACUGGUUAAUAAGAUGGAUGAAAACAAUGGAGUCUCAACCUCACUUCCACCAUUCCUCACCAAAACAUAUGAAAUGGUAGAUGAUUCCUCCUCUGACUCGAUCAUAUCUUGGAGCGAUCACAACAAAAGCUUCAUCGUCAAGAGCCCCGCCGAGUUUUCGAAAGACCUUCUUCCAAGAUUCUUCAAACACAAGAACUUCUCCAGCUUCAUCCGCCAGCUCAACACAUAUGUAAAGCUCCUGUCUUUCUAUCAUCUCUUUGAUGAUGAUAUCUUUGCUUGUCCUAACCCUUUUGUGUGUUUAUAGGGUUUCAGAAAAGUCGAUCCGGAGAAAUGGGAGUUCGCAAACGAAGAUUUCGUUAGAGGCCAGCCUUACCUAAUGAAGAACAUCCACAGGCGAAAACCGGUUCACAGCCACUCGUUACAGAACCUACAAGCGCAGAGUCCUUUGUCUGAAUCAGAAAGACAGAGCAUGAAGGAUCAGAUCGAGAGGCUGAAGAGGGACAAAGAAGUCCUUCUCACGGAUUUACAGAACCAAGAGCUUGAGCGUAAAGGGUUUGAGCUGCAAGUAACCGCGUUGAAAGACCGGUUACAGCACAUGGAGCAGCGUCAGAGAUCGAUAGUGACAUUCGUUUCACAGGUUUUGGAAAAGCCAGGGUUUUCUCUAAACCUAGAAACCCACGAGACAAGGAAAAGAAAGCUGCAAGAGACAGAGACUUCUCUUCCUCCGGGCCGGUCACACGCAGAUCAGGUGGAGAAGUUGGAGUCUUCUUUAACGUUCUUGGAGAAUCUUGUCACGGAAUCUUGCGACAAGGGUAUGGAUAUUGAUGUGAACGAGUCAACUAGCUGCGCGGAGAGUCUAAGCAAUGGAGAUAACCGAGCCAAGUCAACAAAGAUUGAUAUGAACGCAGAGCCUGUUACCGUUGCUGUUGCUGCUCCAAAGACAGGGGUUAACGAUGUGUUCUGGGAGCAGUGUUUGACAGAGAAUCCGGGAUCGAUUGAACAGCAGGAAGUUCAGUCAGAGAGAAGAGAUGUUGAUGCAAAUAAGAUUGGAGAUGGAAGGACGUUUUGGUGGAAAGCUAAGAAUGUAAAUGAUAUUGCAGAGAGAGCUUGAUAUUUAAGCUCUUUUGUAAAAUAGAUUUUUUUAUUUAUUACUACUUCUGAGAUCACUGUCUUGUGGUUCAUUGUUUAUUCUGUUUCUGUACGCUAUUGUUUUGGGGGAAGAGUAAUAUAGAUGCAUAUUGGCUCUGGAUUUAUUUUACCUUCACAACCUUUUCUAUAAAGCUGCGACUUGUUUUAGUAUAAAGACCAAAGAGUCAAAUAGGGGUAGAGAGAGAGAGAGGACAAAAAAAAAAUUAAAUAAAAAGGCUCCGUUUCCGGAAAUUGAACCCGGGUCUCCUGGGUGAAAGCUAUUGUGGACGCAUUUACUGGUUGCCUACGAAGUUCAAUGAAUCAAUUUGGAUAUCUUACUCGAUUGGACAGUUAAAGAAGCUCUUAAAUCUAAAAGCGGUUGAUGUAAAGAAAAAAUUAAGUGGUAAAUUAAGGAACUUGCUUAAAUAUAGAAAAGAUUAUAAUGUUAAUUAAAUAAAUGUAAUUUUCUAAUUUGUUAUUUGCAAAUGACAAAAGACGACAAAAGUUUGUGGUUAAAAUUUUAGGGCAUUGUUAUUCCUGAUUUCCUUUUUUCUUUUUUUCGUCGUCUACCCAUCUAAGCCAGAUCAAGUGGAGAACAGACGAGCUAAUCCUCCGAGUAGCAUUUCCAUCUGUCCGGGUCUGAUCUAUAUGGGAGAAAAUAUAAUCUCUGGUCCUUGCAUCUUUUGCUAAUCCGUCUGCCCGGUCAUUCCGACUUCGAGGAAUAUGAGACAGUCGCACAUCCUCGAAGUCUUCCUGUAACCUCUGGAACACCUCGAUCUCUGUCGCAAAAACUGGCCAGUCCAUCGGGUUUGUAGUCAUAUCCACUAAGUCCGAGCAGUCCAUCUCAAACCAUACCGAAAUGAUCCUUUUGUCUCUCAUACAUGAGGCUGCCUAAAGUAACCCUUCCAUCUCAGCAUGCAAAGCUGAGAGGCUUCUGUUACACGCCCGUAAUCCGAAGUAUUCUAAGCCCAUUUGAUCCUUAAGACUCCACCCUAAGCCACUGACACUGCCAUUAUUGAUACAUGAUGCAUCAAUUUGACAAGUAGAGAUUCGAUGUAUCCAAGGGGGCAUUGUUUCAAUCUCUGUAGUAGGGGGAUCGUCAUGAUCCUCCUUUACUUCCUCCUUUUCGUUAGCCUUCCUCCAACAUUCCGCCUCAAGAGACGCAUGUUGGAGGGUGUCAAUGGGGGAUACGUCUUUCCCAUUGAAGAGUUUGUCGUUCCUCGCCUUCGAAAUGUACCAACAGAUCCAUGGGAAGGUAUCAAAUUGUGGUCUCAGAGGAGCCACCUCUUUUCUCUUCCAAAAAAGGAAGUUCAUGUUUUGAUAUAUGGAUGUACUCGGGAAGUAACCCGGAGUGGACGGAUAGUCUGAUAAAGCCCAAACCAGAAGAGCUGGUGGGCAUUCAAAAAGAAGAUGAUUAAUCGACUCCACUGGGCCAGCACAUUUAGGACAACUCCUAUCGGUUCCCAGGUUUCUAUACAUGAGCCUCUCUGCCGUCGCCACGCAGUCCGAGAUAGCCUGCCACAAGAAAUGUUUCAUCUUGCUCGGGGCCUUUAGCUUCCACACAUGGCUCUGAAGUCUCGUGAUACUCGGUUCUGUAACGCCUUCUUGUGUGAGACUCAGCUUGGUUGAUCGGAGUAGGUCGUAACCGGUUUUAACUGAAUACACUCCUGAUUUGGUGUGAUUCCAAACAUAUCCAUCCGGGGCAAGAGAGAGAGAUGGUUUUAGCCCAAGUAUCAAAGGAAUAUCAUAUGGGUGAAAGAAUUCUCGUAAAAGCUGGAUAUCCCACUCCUUGGUAGCAUUCCUAAUAAAGGACUGAACAAGAAGUUGGGGUAGUCUGUAAACAAUGUGGUUAGCAGGUCUAGGUGGUCGAGCCACUGAGUCUGGAACCCAUGCCUCACUCCAAACCCUCAUAUCUCGACCCGUUCCAAUCGUUUUCCGUAAACCCGAAAUGAGUAGAGGUCUUGCUGCAAUGAUACUGCGUCAUCCAUAUGAUGGUGAGUAUGUUCGUCGAUCUUCCAAAGGAGAGGUAUGAUUGUAGUACCUUCCUUUCAAAACACGUGCCAAUAAAGAGUUCGGGUAAUCAAUUAAUCUUCACAAUUGUUUUGCAAGAAGCGCUAUAUUGAAGUCAUGGAGAUCUCGAAAACCUAGUCCCCCUGAAUCCUUGGAGGUACAGAUCUCGUCCCAUGCUAUCCAAUGCAAACCUCUGCUGUUUUGUUUUGAGCUCCACCAAAAGUUUGAAGUUGUGCUCCUUAGUUUGUCGGUAAUGCCUUGUGGAAGCAAGUAACACGACAUCACAAAUGUCGGAACUGCUUGAGCCACAGAUUUGACUUGGACUUUUUUUCCUCCUUUAGAAAGGAGUCUCGAUGACCAAGUGUUGACUCUCCCAUUGAAACGAUCUUGUACAAAGGAGAACACUUUCAUCUUUGACCCACCGAUUUGUUCCGGUAAUCCAAAGUACAUUCUCAUGCCACCUUCUGAAGAAAAACCUAAGACAUGGAGUAUAUAUGGAUAUAACAAAUUUUACUAUACAUGGAGUAUUACAAAAAAAAAUGAGAAGGUUCCGAUACAUGGAUAUAACAAAUUUUAGCAAGUUAAAAACUUAAAACCAAAACUUAGAAUGCUUAUUUUGACAAAAACGAAAGUUGUUAAAUUUGGAUAUCCGUAUACAAAGUUCACAAAUCAUACGACCAUGUAAAACUAAAUAAUUCAUUUUCUUUAUCAUUUUUACUAUCAUCAUUUCUUUUCUAUUGCCACUUAAUUAUACCCGAAAACAGUAAAUUUAACUCGGAUCUGAUUUAAUUUGAGAAAUUCCCUUAGAUAAUCAUUUUUAGUUUAUUUUCACAAAAAUAGAUCUCAAAGAAGAAAAUGACCAAAAUAUGUUUUAUUAAAGGGUAAAUAUGCAUUUAUACCCAAGAGUUAACUAAUCUAGAUUUAGGGUUUAGAGUUAAAGGGUGGGAUUUUGGGAUAUGGUUUCAAACUUUUAAAAAUUAAAAUUAAAAUUUUCAAAACAAAAAAUGCUAUUUUGGUCAUUUUAUUUUUUUAAUGUUAUUUUUGUGACAAAAAAUUAAAAGGAGCUAUUUGAGAGAAUUGUCCAUCUAAUUUUUGAGAAAAAUAUAUAAAAUGCUACAAAUAAUACUUUUAAAAAAUCUGCAAAUAUUAAAAAGAAGAGAGAGAAAACAAAAAACGAACUAUUUUCUCAAUACUUUUAGUAACUGAAAACAGCCUAUCUAUAAUAUAGAAGAUCUCAAUGGUAAGCAUUUCCCACUCGAGACAAGCUUCCACAACGAAUGCAAACGCACCCUUCUGGUUCUCAUCUUCAAUCGCCAUAGCUACAUUUCAAAUGUUUCAAUUAAAAAUUAACCAACAAAGAUCUAAUCUUUCUUUUCCUAAAGCUGAAACUUUCGUGUUGAAACCGAACGUUUUGUUUACCUUGCGACGUACGCUUCCCAAUGCUUUCCAACAUAUCAAGAUUCUUGACCUAGAUUCAAGCCUCCUGUAAAAAAAAUAAAGCACAUUAUCCACACAAAGAAACGUUACAAAACCAACAAGGAGCAAGUUUUGGUUUAUGUUCUUACAGGUUCUCAUGUUCAAGCUUCUCUGCAAUCAACAGAGCUUUGCGUUUCGACCAACUGCUUCCUUCACCUUGCUUAAUCACUUGAGCCAACGAGACUUUUCCUCUCACUAUGCUCUGGUUCUUGUUUUUGUUCGCCUCCCGAGUCACUGCAGAUUCAGAUUCAUCCUCAAGUUCGAUGAUUUCACUUCUUCCACCCAAGUUUUUCUGGUCUUUCUUUGACUCGAUUCUGAUCUCUAACGUGACCGGAGCUCCAAGAACCGCCUCAAAGGCUCCCAAAAUAUGAUCUCUAAAAUUCUCAGCCGUUAUUCUCGUUACUGGCGAAUUGAACAUUAACUGCACCGUAGGAGCUGCAACACACUACAAAGUUAGUAUAUAUAGAAUCAUAAAUUCCUUUUUCAAUUUGAAAAUGCUCUUAGUCUUACCUGAACCGAUACUAAUAGAAAAGAUCUUCCCUUCUCUGUAGAGAAACUCUCUUAAACCGUUAACUCGAACAUUCUCUACAACCGCCAACCAAAUAUCUUCAACCGAAGGUCGGUUUACACUACUGAAACCUUCUCCACUACGACCUCUAACUUCCCCCGCAGCGUCCUUACAAGGACUAGGACUAGGGUUAAAGCUAGCAUUAGCAGAAGAGCCAGGAGGAAGCAAGUAUCGUUGAUCAGGAGCUAGCUGAAGCAACGCAGCAGUGAGCCAAGUUAUUUUAUCGUUUGAUACUCUCAACUGUUUCUCUGAUUCAGACAGCGUUUUCAAAGCUUGUCUCAGCUUCUCCAUAUCUUCUUUGCACACUACAACAAUAACCACCACAAAAGUUAGUUAUUACUGUUACAACUGACAACCGGCCCUGAUUACAAAUAAUUAUUUCUCAAUUAGUAUGGCAAAAUGUUUGAAACUCACAUGGGUGUCGCCGGAAAAACUUUCUUUUAUGUUGAUCUUUAGCAAAGUCAUAGCUUCCGGCGAGGAUAUCGGUUAUGACGGUUGCGAGCUGCGACAUUAAAGCUAACGGUUCUACACCAGUUUCCAUUAUCAUUCUCAGAUUCUUCACGGUGUUCACAGUAUCCGCGGAUAAAGCUAGAUCAAGAAGAUCAACUAACUUCUCAUCAGAGAUUAACCCAACCUGAAAGAAAACAAAAAACAAAACAAAUAAAUAAAAAAUUCAAUGAAAACUAUCGAAAAAUGUGUUUGAUUUUUGGUAAAAAUAUUUAGAGAUUACCAGUUCUUGAACUAAAGGAACAGAGAUUCUUGUUCCGAGCAAACUCAGCUGUUCUAGUGUCAUCUCAGCGUCUCUCAAGGAACCAUCUGAUCUCGAAGCAACAAGCUUCAACGCGUCUUUAUCGAUAUCAAUCUCUUCCUUUGAUGCAAUCCGUUGCAAAGAACCGAUGAUAUCCGCGUCUUUGAGCUUAGGGAAGAAGAAUCUCUGGCAUCUCGAAACAACAAUGUGAGGCAAGGCAUCAAGACUCGAGCAGACAAGAAUGAAAACAACACGACUAGGUGCUCGGUCCACGACUUUCGAAAGCGCAUUCCAACAAGCUGUUGACAUAGCAUCGCAAUCUUCAAAUAUGAACACUUUGUGAUGAUGCCUCCUGUCCUUCUGAGAGAUCAGAUUCUCGAAGUCGAAGCUUCUUACAGGACCCAUCUCUCGAAUGUUCUUGUUCUUACCAUUAUCAUAAGAAACACAUGAGCUGCAAACACCGCAAGGCUUUGAAUGUUCUGGAGAAUGACAGUUCAAAGCUCUAGCAAAAACGCGAGCACACGAAGUUUUCCCGCUUCCAUUCGAACCGUGGAAGACAUAAAGAAGACCCACUCUUCGUUUAGCAACCGCGUUGGACAGAGCCUGAACAACCAGGCUCUGUCCCACGACAUCUUGGAACGUUCUUGGAGCGUACUUCUGCGUAAAGCUUUGAUGAUGCCGCCGAGGAUUUCUACUGCUGCUUUUCUCACCAUUCUUGAGCAAAUCGUCAGCGAAAACACCCAACUCGCCGGAGUAAUCAUGCUGCCAGCCUUCAUUGUCUCCGCUGUCGACUAAAAGAGGUAACGCCUUGCGGUCAGGUUUGGUGAAAGAGGAGCUUGAAGCAGACGAGAUUGAAAUAUCGGUUAACCCUUUUCUUCCUUUGGAAUCAGACAUACCACAAGAUAAACUCCGACCAGCUAUAUCGAGGAAGGUUCUGCCUCUAUGAUGGAUUCUUGACCAGUUAAACGGAAGUCCACAACCGUUUCUUGGAACAGCUCUAGUCAUGUCCUGUUCUCUCUGUGUUCCUUCUUCUUCCUCAUACUUCUCAGCAAGAGACAUCUCACUCUUGAUACCAACAACAUUGUCUCUAACAGUAACGGCCCUUCCCGCUCUCCUCGCUCCUCUAAACUUCCGUCUUCUAGGCCCGUUACCUCGCGCUGGAACGUUACUAGGAACCACAUCAUCACUAUCAUCACCUAAAACCUCGUUUAACUGAUCAGACAGAGUCUUGAUAUUAUUAGCCCUAUCUUUCGAUUUAACCGAAGCAACACUAUAAACCUCAUUCCCAAAACUAUUCUCACUCAACCCAUCGCACCUUUCAUCAGAAGGGGUCACUUUAGAUGUACCAAAAUUCAGAACUGGAGACGAACUAGACAACCUAAGACCAGAUUUCUUAACCACGUUGUGAUCAACAGAUCUUCUUCUUCUUCUUCUUCUUGUUCCCUCCUUAUGAACCACACCGUUGGAAGAAGGAGAGUUCCGGUUCGCUGAUGGGUCUCUGAGAGAUCUUGAUCUCUGAAGAAGGACGAGAUCUCUCAUAAGAAGAGACCGGUCUGUUGAAACCGGACCAUGUUUGUUGUGCAUAUGGUUCUUCAAGUGGAUAGAGUUGGUUAAGUGGAUAUGGUUACGAAGAUGCUCACCGAUGUCUCCAUUUGAAUCUUUCUGAACCCGGGAAGAAGCCACCCUAGUAGUAGUCAUUGAUCAGAAGAAGAAAUGCUCUGUUUUCUUCAAGAGAAGAAGCUUGUAUAAGUAGUAGCUGUACAAGAACCAAAUCGAGCUGUAUCUCAUUUUCUUGUGUGAAAUUCUUUCAACUUUCCAAAUUUGAAUAACCAACUUUGGUAAUAAUAUCCCCAAGAUUGACUGAACUUACCAAAACAAACAAGUGAAGAGUAAAUCGCAAAGAUGUAAAAUUUUCGGUUUGUUUGGUACUAAAACAUUCAAACUUUUCUAUUGAGACGAAAGACAAAAACAUGAACAAAAGAGUGAAGAUAGAGAUAGAUGGCAAGUGGGAAUCCACCACAAGAGUAUUAAACACCGAAAAGGGAGGAUACAGGAACGAAGCCGUUUUGAAAAGAAGGCACAGAUGUCUCUCUUCUUUUAACCAAACUUUCACAUGAAGAACCUGAGAGCUUUUGAUGGGUUUUUGUUGUGUGUUUUUGAAAGUUUUAGAGGGAGAAAGAG